rnacentral:lncRNA from 1 species
UAGAGAAGGAAAUCACCAGUAAAGGUAAAGUCUGAAACUGGUCCCAGUUUUCAAAAGUCUCUUCCUUUUUCCUUUUCCCCUAUUGCAAAAUGCUUCAAGGGGUGUCCCACGAGACUUUUGUCCCAUUACAGCAACAAGGAAUUAGAUGUUGGAUUGGGGGUCAGUCGGUCUAAACAAGUCAAAUUGCAAUCAAAGUCAGAUGCCAAUUCUUUGCCUUUAGUAUUUUCUUUAAUAUCUUCUUUAUCUUUGGCUUUUGUUAUGAAAACAGGGUUUGAUGUCAAAGGACUAAACAAAAUGCAAGCAGGGUGUCCUUCCUAGGGGAGAAAGAGAAUUCGUCAAAGCUUGCUAGUUGAUAUAAUAGAGUUAUGCUUUAGGUUGUGGGUGGACAAUGAUGAAAGCAGCAGCACCUUUCUUUUCUUUCUUUCUUUUUUUCUUCUGUUACUGGGUAGUGGAGGGCUCUGAUUGGUUAUGCUUUUAGUUUACUUCUGGUUUCUGGUUCUGUAUGGUUAGUGGGUUGUGGGACCUUGUAAAGGGAUGAUGGAUGGGUAUAUAUAAUUUAUAUAGGGAGAUGGAGUAUUCUAUUGUAAUAGACUAACAGUUAGCCAAUUUGGCUCCUUUUCUUCAUCAACGGGAACCUUUUCUUCAUCAAUGGGAAUUGCAGAAUGGUCAGGUAGGAGGAUGGAUUUGAUAAAUUGUUGGUUAGACUACAUUACAGCUACAGUUUUUAUGAUAACAAACUGUAAUGUCCCAGGGUCAUGACAGUACUAAGUAUAGUGUUAUUGCUUCAUAGAAGUGUCAGCCGUGAGCCAGGUUUGUCAUUACUAAGGAAAAGUAUUCGAGUUUUCUACUAUCACAACGUUGUAGGGUUCUCUUAGAUACUGUUGAGUAGUGUUGAUUCUUGCAAAACAUUUGCUAGCUGAUGAGCUCGAUUAUUAACAUAAUUAUUCCCGUUAUAAACUACAUUUUUCUGUGUCUAGAUGCCUCAACUUGAUCGAAUUCA